rnacentral:rRNA from 1 species
CUGACACUGACACUGAGGUGCGAAAGCGUGGGUAGCAAACAGGAUUAGAUACCCUGGUAGUCCACGCCGUAAACGAUGUCGACCAGCCGUUGGGUGCCUAGCGCACUUUGUGGCGAAGUUAACGCGAUAAGUCGACCGCCUGGGGAGUACGGCCGCAAGGUUAAAACUCAAAUGAAUUGACGGGGGCCCGCACAAGCGGUGGAGCAUGUGGUUUAAUUCGAUGCAACGCGAAGAACCUUACCUACUCUUGACAUCCUGCGAAUUUGGUAGAGAUACCUUAGUGCCUUCGGGAACGCAGAGACAGGUGCUGCAUGGCUGUCGUCAGCUCGUGUUGUGAAAUGUUGGGUUAAGUCCCGUAACGAGCGCAACCCUUGUCCUUAUUUGCCAGCGCGUAAUGGCGGGAACUCUAAGGAGACUGCCGGUGACAAACCGGAGGAAGGUGGGGACGACGUCAAGUCAU